rnacentral:rRNA from 1 species
GAUGAACGCUAGCUACAGGCUUAACACAUGCAAGUCGAGGGGAAACGAUAGAGAAAGCUUGCUUUUUCUAGGCGUCGACCGGCGCACGGGUGAGUAACGCGUAUCCAACCUGCCCAUCACUUGGGGAUAACCUUGCGAAAGUAAGACUAAUACCCAAUGACGUCUCUAGAAGACAUCUGAAAGAGAUUAAAGAUUUAUCGGUGAUGGAUGGGGAUGCGUCUGAUUAGCUUGUUGGCGGGGUAACGGCCCACCAAGGCGACGAUCAGUAGGGGUGCUGAGAGGAAGGUCCCCCACAUUGGAACUGAGGCACGGUCCAAACUCCUACGGGAGGCAGCAGGGAGGAAUAUUGGUCAAUGGGCGAGAGCCUGAACCAGCCAAGUAGCGUGCAGGAUGACGGCCCUAUGGGUUGUAAACUGCUUUUAUAAGGGAAUAAAGUGAGUCUCGUGAGACUUUUUGCAUGUACCUUAUGAAUAAGGACCGGCUAAUUCCGUGCCAGCAGCCGCGGUAA